AGAACCUGCGGGCGAGGUGGGUGGCUCGCCAGCCGGGACGAAGGGAAAUGAGGACCACCGCUCCGGGGCGCGAGUAGGCGCGUGGAGUCCGGGGGCUCAGCCGCCGCGCCUCUUCCUCCUGCAGCUGGAGACUGCAACAGCGGCGGGUGCACCGGCAGCAGCGACGACCCUGCGCGCAGGUGGGCACCCCCGAGCGCGGCGCUCUGCCCGCUCCCCCGGCCACCGCGGGCCGGACGCCCGCUCUUCCAGGCCACUGCGCUUGGGGGCGAGGGCUGGGUAGGUCCAGGGGCAGAAGGAAGGUGCACGGCCCCGUGGUGGGCGCGCUUCUGCGCGCGCGCUGUGGUAGGUGGGAAAGAGGUGCAGAAAAGCUGCCUCCCUUAGGGUUCACUCCCUCGGUUCCACUGUCCCCACCCCACCCCUUCUGAGGAGCUGGGCACACCGGUGGGGCUUUGGAAAACUGCGAUCUCCUACCCGCCCCGCAGUAUCGGUGGCGUGUGCAGGUGGCAGUGUAGAAGCCAGACCGGGAGCUUCCAGAAGUGGUUUCUGAAAGAGUCAAAUGUACAUGAGUAAGCAAGCACAGGAAUCUGAAAAACCACAGGCCCACUAAUUUGCCUGCUUGACUAAAAUAAGGACGAGUUAUGUGCUGAUGAGAGACAUGUUUGUAAUGUUAUUCGUUGUGACACAGUUCAAAAGAAUUUGCCUUUGAUUCUCACUAAAAUGUAAAGUUUUGCAUAUUAAGAUCCUUUUUCAACAACUGAGCAACUCUUUAUAAUGAAGGGCAGAAGACGCCAAAGGGAAGAAAAUAUUUACCUUUGUGGGCUUUUACUUUCUUUCCUGGGAAUGGUAGGCCAUAGCUAUUGGUAUGUUUUUUUGUUGUUGUUGUUGUUGUUGUUGUUGUUUUUUGAGAAGGAGUCUCUGUCGCCCAGGCUGUAGUGUAGUGGCAUGAUCUCGACUCACUGCAACCUUCACCUCGGGUUCAAGCGAUUCCCCUGCCCCAGCCUCCUGAGUGGCUGAGAUUACAGGCACCCACCACCAGGCCCGGCUAAUUUUUGUAUUUUUAGUAGAGAUGGGGUUUCACCAUGUUGGUAAGGCUGGUCUCCAACUCCUGACCUCGGGUGAUCCUCCCGCCUCGGUCUCCCAAAGCGCUGGGAUUACAGGCAUGAGCCAGCGCCUACCACCGCUAUUGGUACUUUCACACGGAUGCUAAAGUUAUUGUGCUGGCCGUGUUAAGGGUCAGGCAUCAAAAUGGCCGCUCAAGAGAAUGAAGCUUUCUCUUUGUGCAGAUGCAACGGGUGGGAUGGGGUGCACAAUUAUCACAGUGCUGGUUGUGGUGUUACCUCGACAUUCUGCCUUACAGCUGAGGAGGGAUUUGUUUCGUCCCUGCUAAUGAAGGUGUUAAAUAAACUUGGAUGCUGUUAUUGAAGCUUAAAAAAUAAAUGGAAGCUGGGUGCGAUGGCUCAAGCCUGGAAUCCCAGCACUUUGAGAGACCGAGAUGGGAGGAUUGCUUGAGCUCAGGAGUUCAAGACCAGCCUAGACAACAUGGCAACACCCUGUCUCUACAAAAAAUUACAAAAAGUAGCCAGGCGUGGUGAUGUGCACCUGUAGCUAUGUGUACCUGUAGUCCCACACAGUCGGGAGGCUGAGGUGGGAGCCUCCCUUGAGCCUGGCAGGUCAAGGCUGUGAUGAGCCACGAUCAUGCCACUGCACUCCAGCCUGGGUGUGACAGUGAGAUCCCUUCUUAAGAAAAAAAAAAAAAAGAAAAAAAAGAAAUUGAACACUUACCAGUAGAAAGCAAACAGGGAGCUCAGACUCAGAAAGUGUAGAUUGCACUAAAUACUGAAGGGUUCUCACUUUAAAGACUCCAUGGAUAAGGAGUGGCUUCAGGAAAGCUCUUGAACAUUUAGGAACAUGUAAGUUUGCACUGCAUGAGACUUAGAUUCAUUAUCUGACUCAGGAAAUUGGGAUGUAACUAAUUAUCCCUCAAAAUAUCUAACAGGAAUGGAGUCUCCUCAGUCAAAAAGAAAAAGAACAAGGUUGAUAUUUUAUUCCUUUUUUGAAUUAUAGUAUAUUUGUUGUAGAGCCAUUAGGUGCUUUAGAGAUAUUUGACUUUUGACAUAUAACAUACAUAAUAAAGUGUGUAAAAGGUACUGGUCUAAAGUGUACUGCUCAAGGAGAAUCACUUGAACCCAGGAGG
rnacentral:lncRNA from 1 species